GACGAACGCUGGCGGCGUGCUUAUCACAUGCAAGUCGAACGGAAAGGCCCUGCUUUUGUGGGGUGCUCGAGUGGCGAACGGGUGAGUAACACGUUAGUAACCUGCCCUUGACUUUGGGAUAACUUCAGGAAACUGGGGCUAAUACCGGAUAGGAGCUCCUGCUGCAUGGUGGGGGUUGGAAAGUUUCGGCGGUUGGGGAUGGACUCGCGGCUUAUCAGCUUGUUGGUGGGGUAGUUGCUUACCAAGGCUUUGACGGGUAGCCGGCCUGAGAGGGUGAACGGCCACAUUGGGACUGAGAUACGGCCCAGACUCCUACGGGAGGCAGCAGUGGGGAAUAUUGCACAAUGGGCGGAAGCCUGAUGCAGCAACGCCGCGUGCGGGAUGACGGCCUUCGGGUUGUAAACCGCUUUCGCCUGUGACGAAGCGUGAGUGACGGUAAUGGGUAAAGAAGCACCGGCUAACUACGUG
rnacentral:rRNA from 1 species